ACGGAUAAUAUUCAUAUUAAGCGUUAUAUUAUAUUAUCGAUAUUCGUUCAUUUACUCGUGCUAAUUAAAAAAUAAAAUGUUCUUGUUUCUUGAAUAACACCUACAUCACUGCUUGCGAUAUUUAAAAUUCUUAUUUAAUGCUUAUUUAAAAGUCAUGUACCUUUUUAAUUCCUCUCAAGUUAAACGAGUAAAUUUACUCGUCAUAGUUGUAACAUAAAAUGGCUUUAUUUCUUCAAUGCCGCCUGCAUCGCCGUACAUGAUACAGUUAUUAAUUAUGUAGCGAAUAAUAUGAACUCAUUGGCUGUAAUCGCGGUUAGGUAUUUCUUCGUUAAAUCUAUCGAUGUAUUAGGCUAUUAGUGGGAGACUUAUUGAUUCCUCGAAGAAAUAUCAAAUUCUAUGAAAGUUAACUAAAUGAUUUUAUUCAAUUAGUAUUCGUCAAUGUUUGUCAUAUUCAGCAAGCUUCUUUUAUAAUAGAUUAUGCCACUGUAUAUUAUGUUUGCCUAUAGCUCUUUUUUUCUAAUUCAUUGAUUUUAUUAUUAGUCUCGUUGGUUUUUCCCGUGAGUAUCUGUUGUACGUACAUCUCCAUUAUGCUCAGGUUUUUAACAUCAUCGGAUAACUAUCUUCUUUAUAAAAUAGUUCGUACAACCGUAAACUCGUACUGUUUUUAAAAUCAUCCGGUAAGUAAUCAUUACAGGAGUGAACUUGUCGAAGAUUUCAUGGGUGUGAAUUUUCGUAGGAAGGUAUAAAAUGAUUCGAUUUAUUGUAGCUGGUCUUUUUUUUUAAUAAAAAUUUAUUUCAUGUUGUUCCUGGCAAAUGACAUGGCGCGAUUAAUAACUAUGAUACACGUUCAGUAUGGACUCCAGCUUGCUGCGAUUAGGCCAUUGAGAAAUUAAACGAAAGACGGAGAAAGAGUAACGAUCAUUCUCGAAUCUGGCGAAAGUCUGACGAAUGUCAUCUUUAUCUUCAUCUCAAAUUGAUUAGUUUCCAUUCUCAUUCUAAGACGAGUAUCGCAGAGAGGUUCGAAAAAUGAUUUUUCGUUGGAAAGUCAGAUUUUAUUCAAUUUUCAUUUCUCCAAUUUCUACGGAGAUUUUCGUUCUUUCAGAAUUUUCUUCUUAUUUAACGAGUGCCUUGACGAAGGAUUUCUACAGUACCAGCCAUAAUAGAGAGAACUCGUUUGAAACAGUUUAUCGCUAGAAAGCAAACACAUCAUUGGGCUUUUGCACGCUUAGACUUGAUAUAACAGAUUUUAGCUUAUUUUUUUGUAAUAAUAAGUUACAGGUGCUUGGAUAGAUCUCUUUCUCAAUCGAAGUCCUUUAAUGUCUCGAUGAAAGAAAUUUUAUAUUUUAACGUUUCAAUAUUUUAAUGAUGCAAUAGUAUAAUAUUUUAAUAAGAAGGGAGAAAUGGUUCGUAUACGAUUCUAUAUUUUUAAUCGGCAAAAAUGAAGUUGAAAGGGUAGAAAAGCUAUUGAAAAAAAUUUGGAUAUCAUCGAAGCAUCUGCAGGUCGAUCUUAAUUCGAUCUAUCGAACGAUGGCCCGCGGUCGGUUCGAUCGUAACGUCGAUUAACAUUUAUGAACGGCUGGACCCGCUAGUAACUUCAAAAUACAAUUUCUUUUGCCAAGAGGAAACAUUGAAUUAUAGGCUCGCCCUACCAACUCAAGAUCAACUUCAAUUGACGACUAAUUAGACUCUGAAAAGUUUCACAUCCCUCACGAUCACGACAGACAUUGCGCGCGACGAUUAAUUCGUUUCGAAGUUUUUCUUUAUACAGAACCAAACACGCGACCGAUGAAUUCACGGUAGGAAACGGUAACAAGGAGGGCUCGCCGCAGGAAAUCCCCGACUCUAAACCCGCGAGCAAAGAGGUUGGAGCGGAGGAAGCGAUGGAAGCCAUGAACUUAGGGGAUUAAGAAGAUGCUCAUCCUCCAGACCAAUCUGGGACGGUUAAGACGGGCACAAGACCUGCUCUUUCAAACCAUCCUGGAGAGCACGAUGGCCCUAGCGGUGGUGGCCGAGCCAUACAGAGUCCUGGACGCUCCGGACUGGGCCGGAGAUACGGAUGGCUGUCACCUGGACAUCAGCACCGGGGGCGUCCGCCCACGGGGAUCCACUGGAACGCGGCAACGGAUACGUAGCGGUCGAAUGGGCAGGAAUGGUGGUAAUGGACGUAUUCGACCACGUGACGUCCGUCUGCAACUAUGGAACAUGCGCUCGUCAGAUGGCCGAAUCACCGCGGACAAGAUGUCCGGUCAUGAACUACAUAGAGUUCAGAUCAACCACUCCGUCCAAUAAAUUAUUCUAGUACUUUCGAAUAAAUUUAACCCGUAUGAAAGACCCAAUCAACCUUAUUGCCUUUGUUACGUUAUCGUGUCGACGUUAUUAAUCUUAUUUCUUUGUCUUCCAUGUUGUUUUAGUAUCGUCUUACUUAGUCUAACUCCACUCAUUAUCCGUUUUUUUCCUUCUAGUUAUUUUCUGUUUCUUCAUUUUCCGUUCCCUUUGGUACAAAGUAGCGAAUAUAAAAUUAUAAAAUUGUUAAGUAUAAACUAUGUCAUAUAUCUUGUGUGUUCGUCGUUACAUUCUCCGUUAAAACACUAGCCUAAUAAAACUACACUGAUAACCAUUUGCGUGUAGAUUGGCAGCAGAGCGUAACAGGCUCUGCGUAGCAUAAUCAGACGGCAGAAAGGCAGCAGAAAUCCAGCAGAUCCUGCGCAACUCCGACAAUUUAAAGCGCACACAUACUUUUAUUUAUUUAAAUAAGGCCACUAAAUUACUCUUAUUACUAUUAUUGUAGUAGGCAAAUGAAUAAUUUUCAUAUUACAUUUUGUAUUAUUAAUAAAUACAUAUUUAUUCUUUUAUA